UUAAAAACACUAACAAAGAAACUUAUAUUAGAAGCUUCUGCAUUUGCAAUACACUUAUCAGCCACAACAUUAAAACCACCUGCCUAAUAUUGUGUAGGUACCCUGCAAAACAGUUCUGAUGCAUCGAGGCAUGGACUCCAAAAGACCUCUCAACAUGUCCUGUGGUAUCUGGCAACAAGACAUUGGCAGUAAAUCCUUUAAGUCCUGCAAGUUGUGACGUGGGUCUUCCAUGGAUUGGAUUUGUUGUUCCAUCACAUCCCACAGAUGCCCAAUCGGAUUGAGAUAUGGGGAAUUAUGGAAGCCAGGGCAACACAUUUAACUCUCUCAUGUUCC